rnacentral:rRNA from 1 species
UACAGAGGGGGCAAGCGUUAUUCGGAAUUAUUGGGCGUAAAGGGCGCGUAGGCGGCCAUUCAAGUGACGGGUGAAAGCCCUCGGCUUAACCGAGGAACUGCCUGUCAGACUGGAUGGCUUGAGACCGGGAGAGGUGAGUGGAAUUCCCAGUGUAGCGGUGAAAUGCGUAGAUAGUUGGGAGGAACACCAGUGGCGAAGGCGGCUCACUGGACCGGAACUGACGCUGAGGCGCGAAAGCGUGGGGAGCAAACAGG